UACGUAGGGGGCAAGCGUUGUCCGGAAUCAUUGGGCGUAAAGAGCGUGUAGGCGGCUCGGUAAGUCCGCUCUGAAAGCCCGGGGCUCAACCCCGGGAGGCGGGCGGAUACUGUCGGGCUAGAGUCCGGAAGAGGCGAGUGGAAUUCCUGGUGUAGCGGUGAAAUGCGCAGAUAUCAGGAGGAACACCAAUGGCGAAGGCAGCUCGCUGGGACGGUACUGACGCUGAGGCACGAAAGCGUGGGAAGCAAACAGG
rnacentral:rRNA from 1 species